GACGUAGGUGGCAAGCGUUGUCCGGAUUUACUGGGCGUAAAGAGCGCGCAGGCGGUCGUUCAAGUCGCGUGUGAAAGCCCCCGGCUCAACUGGGGAGGGUCACGCGAUACUGAUCGACUCGAAGGCAGGAGAGGGAAGUGGAAUUCCCGGUGUAGUGGUGAAAUGCGUAGAUAUCGAGAGGAACACCUGCGGCGAAGGCGGGUUGCUGGGCUGACACUGACGCUGACAGCGCGAAAGCUAGGGGAGCGAACGGG
rnacentral:rRNA from 1 species